rnacentral:tRNA from 1 species
GCGGGCGUGGUGGAAUGGUAGACACAGGGAGCUUAAACCUCCCGGCGCCCCUGGCGCAUGUCGGUUCGAUGCCGGCCGCCCGUACCA